rnacentral:rRNA from 1 species
UACAGAGGGUGCGAGCGUUGUCCGGAAUCACUGGGCGUAAAGGGCGCGUAGGUGGCGCUGCAAGUCGGUGGUGAAAGCUCGUCGCUUAACGACGAGUCGGCCAUCGAAACUGCAGGGCUGGAGCACUGUAGGGGCUAAUGGAAUUCCGGGUGUAGCGGUGGAAUGCGUAGAGAUCCGGAAGAACACCAGUGGCGAAGGCGGUUAGCUGGGCAGUUGCUGACACUGAGGCGCGACAGCGUGGGGAGCAAACAGG